rnacentral:rRNA from 1 species
AGUAGCUGGUCCGAGAGGAUGAUCAGCCACACUGGGACUGAGACACGGCCCAGACUCCUACGGGAGGCGGCAGUGGGGAAUUUUCCGCAAUGGGCGAAAGCCUGACGGAGCAAUGCCGCGUGGAGGUGGAAGGCCUACGGGUCGUCAACUUCUUUUCUCGGAGAAGAAACAAUGACGGUAUCUGAGGAAUAAGCAUCGGCUAACUCUGUGCCAGCAGCCGCGGUAAUAUAGAGGAUGCAAGCGUUAU